GUGCUCGCUUAGGCAGCACAUAUACUAAAACUGGAAUGAUACAGCAAAGAUGAGCAUGGCCCCUGUGCAAGGAUGACAUGCAAAUUCCUGAAAUGUUCCAUAUUAAA
rnacentral:snRNA from 1 species